AAAAUAUGUAGACCUAACAUCUAUCUCCCUGCUCCAGUUUCAAGAGAAAAGACCUUAUUCAGAGAAAUAUUUAGAAGACUCUUGUGGAAUUCUUGCUGUGAGUGGUUUUUCCUUCCCUGCCAUUGGUGCGACUGUUUCCCCCUUCCGUCAAAUUGCUGUCUAGAUGUUUCUCUCUGACCCCAAUUUUCUCGGAGUUUGGGAUUAUCAAUCUAAAAUCAGAGGUGAGAAUUCAUCAGUGUUAUCGAUAAGACUUUGCAAUUAUUUCUUUCAAACUGAACUUUUUCCCUAUUCACUUAUUUUUCCUCAUUGCAAAAUAAUCAAAGCAUUGAUGAGUGUUUCUGUUUAAAUUCAAAGGACAUUCCACCUUUAACCUUAGCAUUCAUGAGACACAAAAUGGGUUUUUCUUUUUGCUGAUUUAAAAAGCUGCUAUGAAGCUGCACAGUGCGGAAGAGGGCACCCCUGCUCCAGAAAAGAAGAAACAAAACUGCCUGCCAUAGACACUUGGCAGGGAGGAACUUGGAUUGUCCUUCAGUAAAAUUCCACUUUGAUGCGCAAAGCGAACUUGAAUUUCUGCUUGGCCUACCACAGGCCUGCAACAUGCACUUUCUCCUCGAGGGAACUGCCACUCACUGACACGGACAACAGUAAAGGAACUUGGUCUUCACUAUGCCUCAUAGUGGUGGGUCACACUGCCCAGGAGGAACCCGCAAUGAGACCGGCAAAUGCCUUAACCAUCUCAUUGUCUCAUCAGGAAGAAGCUUAAAUGACUCUUCUUGCUCACAUACUUCCUGGGCAAACAUGUCUGCUCUGUUGGGAUAAAGGACGCUCUAGACCAGGCUCUGCUGAAAGAUCCAGGGCAAAGGUUCCUGACAAGACUAUGUCCAGCCUCAAAUAAGGCCACAGAAGAGCCCAGGCUCGCUGACGAGCACCGGCUCCGAGGCAGUCACAUCAGGAGACAGAAACAGACAUGUUGGUGCUGCCCUCUCAGGUCAGUGCAAAUGCCACUUGAGGAGGGCUGAGAGCUUUGCAGCAUAAAAUGACCAGAACAAGGAGAAACACAGAUGCAAUGGCAAUAGCUGGCAAUUCGCACAUGGCGUCAAACACCACUGCCACAGAAGCUUUUUAGCUACAAGCCACGCUAUGCAACCUUUAAGCAAAACAUUAUUGAUUUUGUGGUUGUAAAAACAUACCUUCAACUGCAGAACUCAGUUUUAUGACACCUUGAAUAAAAACAAAAAGUGGCAGUUAUAUAAUGGACCCAAAUCGCCUUUUCCAGGCUUCUCAUAACACACGCAUGCUUCAGAUUUGGAUUUUUCUUUUUCUGCUGGCAUUGCAAGAACGUAACUAAACAAAUAUCAACUUCAAAAAUAAAAUAAUUUUUAGUCUUAACUAGGUCUCAUGGAUGUCUUCUUUUCCCCCACUAAAACCAUUUGGGGAAAUUUUUCACUAAAAAUGGGAUCAAACAUGUUUUUGGAUGGGACAAAGGCCAAGUCUGCCUGAGUGACUAUUUCUGUGUAUAAAUUAUACCAGAUUAUGGAUCAAUAAAAGUUCACACAAUAGGAUGCUAGGGACCAGCACUUCCUCUUUGAUACUGUAUCUAGAGAUCAUCUGAUGCAUGUUAGGACAGAGUUUCUGUUGAAACAUGUAACAGGUGGUUAAAAACCAUGGUGUGAUCUGGUAACUUUCUUCUCUGGGGUGGUUGGGCCAGAGCCCUUUUCUUGGUCUGAUGGGUUUAGAUUUCAGCUCCCUCAAGUCAGAGAGUGAACGGGUUAUCUGAGCAAGUCAAGUUGUUCAUGAAGCAAGUCAGUACCCUUGACUGAUAUUUAUGCACCUUUGCAGUGAAUUUUUUUUUUUUUUGAGACAGAGUCUCGCUCUGUCACCCAGGCUGGAGUGCAGUGGCGCAAUCUCGGAUCUUGGAUCUCGGCUCACUGCAACCUCUGCCUCCUGGGUGGACGCCAUUCUCCUGCCUCAGCCUCCCGAGUGGCUGGGACUACAGGCGCCCGCCAGCACGCCCGGCUAAUUUUUUGUAUUUUUAGUAGAAACAUGGUUUCACUGUA
rnacentral:lncRNA from 1 species